rnacentral:rRNA from 1 species
UACAGAGGUCCCAAGCGUUGUUCGGAUUCACUGGGCGUAAAGGGUGCGUAGGUGGCAGGGUAAGUUUGAUGUGAAAUCUCCGAGCUUAACUCGGAAACUGCAUUGAAUACUAUCCUGCUCGAGGUUUGGAAGGGGGACUGGAAUUCUCGGUGUAGCAGUGAAAUGCGUAGAUAUCGAGAGGAACACCAGUGGCGAAGGCGAGUCCCUGGACAACACCUGACACUGGAGGCACGAAAGCUAGGGGAGCAAAC